UACGUAGGGUGCAAGCGUUAUCCGGAUUCACUGGGUUUAAAGGGUGCGUAGGAGGGCAGGUAAGUCAGUGGUGAAAUCUCCGAGCUUAACUCGGAAACUGCCGUUGAUACUAUCUGUCUUGAAAAUUGUGGAGGUGAGCGGAAUAUGUCAUGUAGCGGUGAAAUGCUUAGAUAUGACAUAGGACACCAAUUGCGAAGGCAGCUCGCUACACAUAUAUUGACUCUGAGGCACGAAAGCGUGGGGAGCGAACAGG
rnacentral:rRNA from 1 species